CUUACACAUGCAAGUCGAACGGCAGCACGGGUGCUUGCACCUGGUGGCGAGUGGCGAACGGGUGAGUAAUACAUCGGAACAUGUCCUGUAGUGGGGGAUAGCCCGGCGAAAGCCGGAUUAAUACCGCAUACGAUCUAUGGAUGAAAGCGGGGGACCUUCGGGCCUCGCGCUAUAGGGUUGGCCGAUGGCUGAUUAGCUAGUUGGUGGGGUAAAGGCCUACCAAGGCGACGAUCAGUAGCUGGUCUGAGAGGACGACCAGCCACACUGGGACUGAGACACGGCCCAGACUCCUACGGGAGGCAGCAGUGGGGAAUUUUGGACAAUGGGCGAAAGCCUGAUCCAGCAAUGCCGCGUGUGUGAAGAAGGCCUUCGGGUUGUAAAGCACUUUUGUCCGGAAAGAAAUCCUUGGUUCUAAUAUAGCCGGGGGAUGACGGUACCGGAAGAAUAAGCACCGGCUAACUACGUGCCAGCAGCCGCGGUAAUACGUAGGGUGCGAGCGUUAAUCGGAAUUACUGGGCGUAAAGCGUGCGCAGGCGGUUUGCUAAGACCGAUGUGAAAUCCCCGGGCUCAACCUGGGAACUGCAUUGGUGACUGGCAGGCUAGAGUAUGGCAGAGGGGGGUAGAAUUCCACGUGUAGCAGUGAAAUGCGUAGA
rnacentral:rRNA from 1 species